UGCAUCUUUGUUGAGUUUUGUCAGCUGCCUUGGAUCUUCUCUCCCCAGAUUUUCUUCUGCUAUUGUCAGUUGUUUCGAGGAGUUUGAAUUUUGUUUUCAUCAUCUGCUGGGGUUUGCUUGGUUCGUAAUUCUCAGUUAAGAGUUGUUCAGAUUUGGUUGCUACGGAAACUCAGUAGUUUCUCAGUGAACCUGGUGACAGUCGAUCUCUCUCACAUAAUCGAAUUAUCAUUUCCGAAGCCACAAACAAGACCUCUGUUUACCAAUAUGCCUUAGACAAUCUGGGGAAUUUUCCAAAUGGUCAGCUACAGCAAAGUGUGACUCCUAAUGAUUUCUCCCUUACUCCCUAUGACUAUGGAAGAUGUCAUGUAAGAAUUCAAAGUGCAGGUCAUUCCCACUUUGUGAUUGUAAAGACAGGGAAGAAAGUGGCUGCGAUGGUUUGUGCCAAGAAGAAUGAGCCUAGGAAGAAGAUUGAAAACGACAUGAUUUUCCAAGCUGCUGCUUAGCUUCAAACUUUCGUUGCCUCAGUAGAAGUUUUAUACACUCUACCCUUAUAUGUGUUAUCUUUAUGGUACUAUCUGAAGCUUUGAAGAAUGAUAACAUUAAGAUAGUGCGCGUUGGUUGGUUUAUGAUGAACACUACAUUUAUUUACCAGAAAUGCAACUUGGUCCAAUUUCUUUCUCA